UUUUCAUAAUGAAUUCAAGAACAAUCCACGCUUCACACUGGAUACUAAAAGUGGGUUCAGGUUUGAACAUCCAAGCUUUGGUCCAUCAGUCGGCAUCUGAGAGCAUCCAGCCAGGAGGCUCUGUGACUCUGAACUGUACAGUACACACUGGGACCUGUGAUGACGGAGAACACAGUGUUUACUGGUUCAAAAACUCUCAAGAAUCUCAUCCAGGAAUCAUUUACACACAUGGAGGCAGGAAUGAUCAGUGUGAGAGGAACAGCAACACACAAACACACACCUGUGUCUACAACUUGCCAAUGACGAGUCUGAAUCUUUCUCAUGCUGGGACCUACUACUGUGCUGUCGCCUCAUGUGGACAGAUACUGUUUGGAAACGGGACCAAGCUGGACGUUGAGCAUGAGGUGGAUUCUCUUGUCUUGGUGUAUUUCUUGAGUGGAGCUUUGACAUUCACCGCCAUCCUGGUUGUUUUACUGGCUUUCUCAGUGUGUGUGAUCAACAAAAAAAACAGCUGCCAGUGUAAAGAGUCUCAGGCGAGAUUUUCAGCUCCCUCCACAUCAGAUGCAGAGGGUCACCAAAAUGAAGAAAACAUCCAUUACGCAGCAUUAAGGAAGCACAAGGUCAACAGAUCUAGAAGACAGAGGAACAACACCGAGACUGAAUGCGUGUACUCAAGAGUAAAGCAGUAGAACUGUACAUGUUUUAUAUUUGUUGCAGUGUAAUAAGAUAUGCCUUUAUUAGUGUUAUCAGUAUAUUUUUCUUGUGACUAUAGAAAGGAGCAGCCAUAAUUCCCAGAGAUGAGUUGAUUCAACCAGUUAUUUGAGAAUGUAUGUUGGUGAUGGAUUGAAGUAAUAAUAUAUUUAUGUCAAAAUAAAAAGUUUUUAAUGUUCUAUCCGCAACCCAAGUCAAAUUGUAGCAAAUCAGCAAGCUAAGGACAUUUUUACAAGAUGGGCUUCAGAACAAGUGUAUGUGAGACAGAACUGCAUGAAUGUACAUUGGCUGAUCUCAAGCAAAAUUAUGUGACAGGCUGGAUUUACUGUUGUUAAUGUUAAAUUAUGCUAUUUAUAAUUUUUUUCACUGGGGCAGAAAAAGGUUGAAGUUGAAACAAAUCAACACAGAAUGGAAAAGACAGUAAAAGUUUUGCUUAUUUCUCUUGAGAGAUAUCUGUUUGAGCUGUUUUGUCUGCGCUCCUCUUAGUAGUUUACUGUGGGCGGGGCUUGGUGGGAAUAAGGUGAUGUCACAUAUUUCUGUCCCAAUCAGACUUUUGCUAAAUUUGAAUCAGAAUCUGACGUCAGUUGUUGGGUUGUUGGGUUAUUUUGCCAAGCCACUGUCAAUCACAUCUGUGCAAACCACACCCACACAGUCCUGAUGAAGCAGAUUAGCUGUGUUUUGAAUGUUUAACUCUUAAUAAAGAAAAAGCAAGAACGUUAUCUUUUUAACUUUAACUUGAAUGAUUUUUUUAAAGAAGUGUAAUAACUUGCACAAAUUCUGUGAAGUAGU